rnacentral:tRNA from 1 species
GGCCCCGUAGGCUAAUGGUAGACCGUGUCCUUGACGUGGACAAGGCCCAAGUUCGAUUCUUGGUGGGGCCA